rnacentral:lncRNA from 1 species
UUGUGUGUUUGGCUCAGCUCAAGCUCGUGAACUGGAGGAGCUCAGUGUGAAGUCAUCUACAACUGAGGAGGAGCUGAGGCAGCACCAGACUACAGUGGGGAACUUAACAGGAAAGGUGAUGGAGAUACAACAAGAGAAUGCAGUUCAAGACCAGGAGCUGGUGACCCUUAAUGAAAGGUCAAAUAUCACUGAGACUCUGGUGGAUGAGCAAAAAAUUGUGAUGCAGGAGCUGAAGACUGAGCUGGAUGGACUGGAAAGGCAGAAUGCAGACCAGGACAUUGAACUGGAUUUUCUGGAAAACAGGUCGAACUCCACUGAUGUCCAGAUCAAUGAAAUACUGUCUGACAUGGUGGAGCUGAAUACUGUGAUGGACAGGUUGAUAAAAGAGAACGAAGACAGACCAAAGGUGGCAUUUGCAGCAAGUUUGGGGAUAAACGGGAGGCUGGGUCCUUACAGUUCCCCAUAUUCACUUGUCUACAGCAGAGUCUUGACAAACAUUGGCAAUGCUUACAGUCAAUCAACAGGUAAUCUAUUUAAUAAACAAGAGCCUGUUCCUGGGCAUGUAGGUUUAGUUGU